rnacentral:lncRNA from 1 species
UUUAGGGUGUGCAGUUCCUCGUGAAGCCUCCCUUCUUCAACACACCGCUUGCAAGGCCUCCAAAAUACCACAUCAGGGAAAAAGAACUGCUAUGUGAUGUCGUAGGGCGCGCUCGCUGGGUCGCGUGUGGGUGUCGUGUGAGGAGGUAAGAGCAUCAAAGACUUCGUGAGGUGACAUAGACGGGAGCAGGCCCGCUAGCCAGUUCUCACUCACUUGUGUUUUUUUUUGCAGUGGUCUAGGGAUUGACCUCAAUACAUGCACCGUGUUGAGCCCGUGCUUGCAUUAUAGACACGAGGGAAUUCGUGAGCGUGCACCGCCCUUGAGGCAUAGCAACCUGCACGCACACAUGGAGUCUGAUGGAAACAAGCUUUACUGAUGCUUGAAGCAGGUUCAUUACAUAGUAGCAAGAUAUAUAGCGGCUUAUUCGAAACGGGUCGGCAUGAGGUGCUGAAAAGUGAAAGCACAUAUGCUCCCUUAUUGAUUUUGAUAAUUCAUGACAACAUACAUUGUCUCUUGGACUAAAACUUUCACCUAGAUAUUUCAGGAGUAGUCCAUAGAGAGCUUUGGCUAAGGAUUAUGUGGAU